ensembl:misc_RNA Metazoa_SRP Metazoan signal recognition particle RNA
UCUGGGUGUGGUGGUGCACACCUGUAGUCCCAGCUACUUGGGAGGCUGAGGCAGGAGGAUUGCUUGAGCUCAGGAGUUCAAGGCUACAGUGAGCUAUGAUUGCACCACUGCACUCCAGCCUGGGUGACAGAGAGAGAUCCUGUCUCAA